GUGCCUGCUGAGACAGCACAUACAGUAAAACUGGAAGGAUACAGAAAUUAGCACGGCCCCUGUACAAGGAGGACACGCAAAUCUGCAAAGCGCUCCCUUUUAAA
ensembl:snRNA U6 U6 spliceosomal RNA